UGUGGAAACGGUUACGAGAGACU
rnacentral:miRNA from 1 species